rnacentral:rRNA from 1 species
UCAAGUUAAUAAGGGCGUAGGGCGGAUGCCUUGGCACCAAGAGCCGAUGAAGGACGGGAUAAGCACCGAUAUGCUUCGGGGAGCCGCAAAUAGGCAUUGAUCCGGAGAUUUCCGAAUGGGGAAACCCGCUUAAGUAGACCUUAAGCAUCAUACACUGAAUCCAUAGGUGUAUGAGGGGAUACCAGGGGAACUGAAACAUCUAAGUACCCUGAGGAAGAGAAAGAAACAUCGAUUUCCUAAGUAGCGGCGAGCGAACGGGAAAGAGCCCAAACCGAGCUUAGCUCGGGGUUACGGACCAGCAAAAGGAAUUACAAAGCCUAGUAGAAGAAGGUUGGAAACCCUCACCAUAGAAGGUGAUAGUCCUGUAUACGAAAGGUAGAGUAAUCUAGCUGGAAUCCAGAGUACCACGGGACACGUGAAAUCCUGUGGGAAGUAGGGAGGCCCACCUCCCAAGGCUAAAUACUCCUUGGUGACCGAUAGUGAAUAAGUACCGUGAGGGAAAGGUGAAAAGAACCCCGGGAGGGGAGUGAAAUAGAACCUGAAACCCUACGCCUACAAGCAGUGGAAGCACAUUAUUAGUGUAACCGCGUACUUUUUGUAGAACGGGCCAGCGAGUUAUGGUAUUGAGCGAGGUUAAGUGCUUAAGGCACGGAGCCGUAGGGAAACCGAGUCUUAACAGGGCGUAAAGUUCAAUGCCAUAGACCCGAAACCGGGUGACCUAUCCAUGGGCAGAGUGAAGUUGAAGUAAAGUUCAAUGGAGGCUCGAACCCGUUAGCGUUUAAAAGCUAUGGGAUGACCUGUGGAUAGGGGUGAAAAGCCAAUCGAACUCGGAGAUAGCUGGUUCUCCUCGAAAUAGCUUUAGGGCUAGCCUCAAGGGAGUGAAAUGGAGGUAGAGCACUGACUGGUCUAGGGGCCAAUAAGGUUACCAAAACCUAUCAAACUCCGAAUGCCAUAUUCAUGAUCCUUGGGAGUCAGACUAUGUGGGAUAAGCUUCAUAGUCGAGAGGGAAAGAGCCCAGACCACCAGCUAAGGUCCCUAAAUCCAGAUUAAGUGGUAAAGGAUGUGAGGUUUCACAGACAACCAGGAUGUUGGCUUAGAAGCAGCCAUACAUUUAAAGAGUGCGUAAUAGCUCACUGGUCGAGAGACCUUGCGCCGAAGAUUUCCGGGGCUUAAAUCUGGUACCGAAGCUGUGGACUGUCGGUGGUAUUAAACCUACGACAGUGGUAGAGGAGCAUUGUGUUAGGGUAGAAGGUAUACCGAAAGGAGUGCUGGACUUAACACAAGAGAGAAUGCUGGCAUAAGUAGCGAAAGGUGAGUGAGAAUCUCACCCGUCGAAAGCCUAAGGUUUCCUGAGGAAGGCUCGUCCACUCAGGGUAAGUCGGGACCUAAGCCGAGGCUGAAAAGCGUAGGCGAUGGACAACAGGUUGAGAUUCCUGUACUAGUUGAUUGCGUUUGAGAGAAGGAGUGACGCAGGAGGAUAGGCUGAGCGCACCGUUGGUUGAGUGCGUCUAAGCAAGUAGGGAGUUAGGAUAGGCAAAUCCGUCUUAACAAUCCUGAGAUGCGAUGGGGAGCGAAAAAUAAGUAGCGAAGCAGCUGACUCCACACUGCCAAGAAAAGCUUCUAUCGAGCAAAAAACUACCCGUACCGCAAACCGACACAGGUAGGCGAGGAGAGAAUCCUAAGACGAGCGGAAGAACCAUUGUUAAGGAACUCGGCAAAAUAGCCCCGUAACUUCGGGAGAAGGGGUGCCAGAAGAUGUGAAAUGUAUCCACAAGGAGCAUCAUCUGGCCGCAGUGAAUAGGCCCAAGCGACUGUUUACCAAAAACACAAGUCUCUGCUAAGUCGAAAGACGAAGUAUAGGGGCUGACACCUGCCCGGUGCUGGAAGGUUAAGGGGAAUACUUAGCGCAAGCGAAGGUAUGAACUUAAGCCCCAGUAAACGGCGGCCGUAACUAUAACGGUCCUAAGGUAGCGAAAUUCCUUGUCGGGUAAGUUCCGACC